UACGGAGGGUGCAAACGUUGCUCGGAAUUAUUGGGCGUAAAGCGCACGUAGGCGGUUCGCUAUGUCGGAUGUGAAAGCCUCGGGCUUAACCCGAGAAGGGCAUCCGAAACUGGCGGGCUUGAGUACGGAAGAGGGUCUCGGAAUUCCCGGUGUAGAGGUGAAAUUCGUAGAUAUCGGGAGGAACACCAGUGGCGAAGGCGGAGACCUGGGCCGAUACUGACGCUGAGGUGCGAAAGCGUGGGGGAGCA
rnacentral:rRNA from 1 species